rnacentral:rRNA from 1 species
AAUUGACGGGGCCCGCACAAGCGGUGGAGUAUGUGGUUUAAUUCGAUGCAACGCGAAGAACCUUACCUGGUCUUGACAUCCCGGAGACCCUUAGGAAACUAGGGGGUGCUUCCAUCUGGAAGAAUCUGGAGACAGGUGCUGCAUGGCUGUCGUCAGCUCGUGUCGUGAGAUGUUGGGUUAAGUCCCGCAACGAGCGCAACCCUUGCCUUUAGUUGCCAGCAGUUCGGCUGGGCACUCUAAAGGGACUGCCGGUGUUAAACCGGAGGAAGGUGGGGAUGACGUCAAGUCCUCAUGGCCUUUAUGACCAGGGCUACACACGUACUACAAUGGCCGAUACAAAGGGCAGCGACACUGCGAGGUGAAGCCAAUCCCGUAAAAUCGGUCUCAGUCCGGAUUGGAGUCUGCAACUCGACUCCAUGAAGUUGGAAUCGCUAGUAAUCGUGGAUCAGCAUGCCACGGUGAAUACGUUCCCGGGCCUU